UCUUCCGCAAUGGACGAAAGUCUGACGGAGCAACGCCGCGUGAGCGAUGAAGGCUUUCGGGUCGCAAAACUCUGUUGUUAGGGAAGAACAAGUGCUAGUUGAAUAAGCUGGCACCUUGACGGUACCUAACCAGACAGCCACGGCUAACUACGUGCCAGCAGCCGCGGUAAUACGUAGGUGGCAAGCGUUAUCCGGAAUUAUUGGGCGUAAAGCGCGCGCAGGUGGUUUCUUAAGUCUGAUGUGAAAGGCCAAGGGUCAACCGGGGAGGGUCAUUGGAAACUGGGAGACUUGAGUGCAGAAGAGGAAAGUGGAAUUCCAUGUGUAGCGGUGAAAUGCGUAGAGAUAUGGAGGAACACCAGUGGCGAAGGCGACUUUCUGGUCUGUAACUGACACUGAGGCGCGAAAGCGUGGGGAGCAAACAGGA
rnacentral:rRNA from 1 species